ensembl:lncRNA
GAGAAGGCCCAGAAACCGCCGGGGAGGACCCCAGGGCCGGGCACGCAGCCAGGCUCCCAGCGCCGCCCGAUCUGCGGGCGUCUGACCGGAGCGAAGGCGGCGGCCGCGCCGAGUUGUCAGGAAAAAAAAUAAUUGUCUCACACUGGAUUCUUCUCCCGUAACUUUUCCCGUAAACUCUCGGCACGUGCCAUCAUCCGACACUGGUUGCUGACGUUCAGUGGCUCAGCCGUGUCCGACUCUGAGACCCCCUGGACCGAAGCGCGCCAGGCCUCCCUGUCCACCAACUCCUGGAGCUUGCUCAGACUCAUGUCCAUCGAGUCAGUGACGCCAUCCAACCAUCUCAUCCUCUGUCGUCCCCUUCUCCUCCUGCCUUCAAUCUUUCCCAACAUCAGAGUCUUUUCCAAUGAGUUGGCUCCUCUCAUCAGGUGGCCAAGUAUUGGAGCUUCAGCUUUAGCAUCAGUCCCUCCAAUGAAUAUUCAGGGUUGACUUCAUUUAGGAUGGACUGGUUUGACCUCCUUGCAACCCAAGGGACUCUCAAGGGAUCUGCCACUGGAGCCUCCCCCCAAAGUGGGGCCCCUGCAGCGGAGGACAGGGAGCCCCCUCCAUCCCAGGAGACCCCGGGGUGUGACCCUCUGGCCUGUUAAGCCAGCUUUUGUGCCAGAACUCCAGCCAAGAGGCUGGAACUCGUCCUACAGUGCCCUCGAAGGUCCUGGGAGCCAACAGGAGCAGACAGGAGCCUCCCCUGGAAGGACAGGCUCCCAUCUCAGCCCUUUCCUCAAAGAUCACAGAGACGGACGUUCAGGUCAACAGUCGCUGAGCACAUGGGCAAGCAGCUCACCUGGUGCCAUCCAAGGACAGGGUCGCCCCACAAAGAGACAGAUGCCGAGAGGAAGGAGGUGCGAUUUUAAGAAGUGGUUUUUGUUUUAAGAAAUGAAAGAUGGAGAACGUGAGGAAAGAAAAUACAACUGUCAGAACUGACAGGUUGGAUUUUCACAAGAACCAAAGAAAACACCCAGAGUGUAAUACGUGCCUGAAACUAGCAAUUGAAGGGACAGUUUGAACAGCGUGUCAGGUGCGUGGAGAAUGACUUGAUGAGCUCAGAAUCACCUUCGCAGGUACACUGGGCACCGCUUCAGGUAACGUCUCAAGUCACAAAAAGACGAAUACACUGGGCUACAUUAAACAAAUAGCUUCUGCUUCUCAAAAUACAGUGUGCAGAGACGGGAAACCCAGCCACAAACCUGAGGUUCUCUGCAACCCACAUACAACUCAAGGUUGGCCACCAGAACAGAGAAAGACCUGGGACAUCAAAUAGACAAAGCCGAGCAACCCUCAGAGACACGGGUGAGAGACAGGAGGCGUGUUGCAGAGCCUGAAGAUCCGAAGUGUUAUUGAGAGAAACUUCACCCACUAUUAACCAGAGAGACGCAGUUCAAACCACAAUAAAACAAAACACCACACUCAGCAAAAUGGCAAAAGUGAGUAUGCUGGGGAUGACCCCUGCCUGACCACAGACCCCUCCCUGCCUGCAGGUGAGGUGGGAGGGGGUCCCACACGUGGGAAUAACCUGCCACACGGGUCGUGGGCGCUGGACGCCCGCUGCCAACCCUGCAUCUGAGCAAAGCUCUUGCAGACACACCCAGAAGGCAGACAUGAGACGUUUCAAAGCAACAUUGUCAUGCG